ACAGGGAUUGCCCUAGUAACGGCGAGUGAAGCGGCAACAGCUCAAAUUUGAAAUCUGGCUCUUUUAGAGUCCGAGUUGUAAUUUGCAGAGGGCGCUUUGGCUUUGGCAGCGGUCCAAGUUCCUUGGAACAGGACGUCACAGAGGGUGAGAAUCCCGUACGUGGUCGCUGGCUAUUGCCGUGUAAAGCCCCUUCGACGAGUCGAGUUGUUUGGGAAUGCAGCUCUAAAUGGGAGGUACAUUUCUUCUAAAGCUAAAUAUUGGCCAGAGACCGAUAGCGCACAAGUAGAGUGAUCGAAAGAUGAAAAGCACUUUGGAAAGAGAGUCAAACAGCACGUGAAAUUGUUGAAAGGGAAGCGCUUGCAGCCAGACUUGCUUGCAGUUGCUCAUCCGGGCUUUUUGCCCGGUGCACUCUUCUGUAGGCAGGCCAGCAUCAGUUUGGGCGGUAGGAUAAAGGUCUCUGUCACGUACCUCCUUUCGGGGAGGCCUUAUAGGGGAGGCGACAUACUACCAGCCUGGACUGAGGUCCGCGCAUCUGCUAGGAUGCUGGCGUAAUGGCUGUAAGCGGCCCGUCUUGAAACACGGACCAAGGAGUCUAACAUCUAUGCGAGUGUUUGGGUGUCAAGCCCGAGCGCGUAAUGAAAGUGAACGGAGGUGGGAACCCGCAAGGGUGCACCAUCGACCGAUCCUGAUGUCUUCGGAAGGAUUUGAGUAAGAGCAUGGCUGUUGGGACCCGAAAGAUGGUGAACUAUGCUUGAAUAGGGUGAAGCCAGAGGAAACUCUGGUGGAGGCUCGCAGCGGUUCUGACGUGCAAAUCGAUCGUCAAAUUUGGGCAUAGGGGCGAAAGACUA
rnacentral:rRNA from 2 species